UAAUUCGAUGGAGCCGGCUGCACGCACGAA
rnacentral:sRNA from 1 species